GUUCGUAAGUUUGCUUAGUUAUUCCGGUCUAAAUCUGGCAAAGAAACUUAAAAUAGACCACGACCUCUUUCUUGUCUCUCUCUCUCUAAUUCCGAAAAAUCUAAUAAUUCAUUUCAUUGUUACAUGACUCUUGUCGUUGAUACAGCGUCUUUGAAACCGAAUGAGCAUGUACACAAUAUUAUCUGCCAGUGUGUGUAUUUACUCUGAAUGUCCCCGCCUAAAUCUCCCUUCAUUUUAUCGCAAGUACAAACGUACAAUAUUCGUUUGGUAUGAUUAUUAAUUCAAAAUGGACCCUUGUAAGUGCCACAGCUGCUAUAAUCAUGUGUUUUUCGGCGCCCCGAAAAACUACUUGUUGUAAAGGAACCCUGUUUAGACAGAAAACAAGAACACAAGAGUCAGAAGCUGCGCGUUUUUGUAUUGCUAUGUCCCGGUUUUCCGUGCGUUCUUUUCCACUCCAUUAGACUAUGGCAUACCCGAGAAACACCCCUCGCUUUCUUUCUGAGUAAAUUUUUGUAGCGGCCGGAUUGCUGUAAUCGUAGAUUUUAACACUUUGCAUUCUGCUUCUGUUAAAAACCUUUUUCUGUUUGUGUGUUUUCAUGGUAACAUGUACUUUACGCUAUUGAAAAGCCCAAAUAGUUAACUUUAAUGUUGAGAGACGGCGAUCACGUUUAUUUUUCUGAUCUUAUUCACCUGACAAACCCAGAUCGAAAAAGCCAGUACUUCUAACGAUAUUUGUCGUGCGUAACAUGCAAAGACUUCCCUGCCCUCUCUUUGUGGAAGACCGUACUAAGUACCGACUGUCGAAUCGCAGACAAGCAGUCGCCCUGACGAUGGAAAUAGUCAGAAUUGUUGGACGGUUUAAAUGAUGAGAUUUCUAGAUCAAUUCGUGAUGUUUCACAGGAUUACCUCUUUAUAUACAUAGAUUGAUCUAAGCAAUAAUGCUGUUGAACUUUAUGCGGGUAGGGGGGGGACUUGCGCUAUUUGAAUAUCACCUCGUGCUCUGAUUUUACCCGCAGGUGUUCAUGUAAUAUCUCACUGUGUUCAGGUAAAUAUGUGUCGAAGUCCGCUGGGACUACGAACGGCAGCAACUGUCGCUGUGAUCGCACAUAGCGGAUAGGGCGUGCUGGCGGCAUAGUCGCCAGAUACCCUCACCGUAUUUAGUUCGUUCUGCACGUGUGUCUGAAUGGCCUAGUGCCUUUCUUAACACGUGUUAAUUGCUUAAUUUCCCCAGUUUAAAUUCUAACAGUAUUUUCAUUUCUUCUAGAACUCACCUUACUACGUCGUGGCAGGAUGUGGCAACCACGAAGAGGACGACGACGAGCAGUUGAACAGCAGACAUCUUGGUGGUGUUGCUUCCAGCUGAGGAGAAGAAGCUUAAUUGAUCCUUGGGAUUCAACUGAGGGGAAAGCUGUCUGUCACCUGACCAGCCUGCUGCUUGCCAGGAAAUCAGUGGAGUAUGUUCAGUACACUUGGCAGGCUCACUUCAUAUCGCAACAGAAACUUGGCUGUGAUCACGAAGGGCACUCCUGUCUGCUACAGAUUUAUCUGUCUCAACUUGAUGUGCACUGUGAGUAGCGGAAAUAGAGUGAUCCUUCAGAUUCUACUGAGCUGCAUGCUGUGUGUCAUCUGACCUGCGUACUGCUUGCCAUAGAAGCAGAGGAGUGCACCAACACUAGACAGACUGACAUCCGAGAGAAGACCGCUUGUGUCCCCGAUGGUUGGCCGUCCUGUUGCUGAGUGCAUACAUGGAGAAGAGGACUGAAUGCAGCAUGUAAAUUUUGUGUGCCUCUGGAGAGGUGGUGCAGUUUUCUGUUAUUUAACCCAUUGACAGGGGCUUGCUCUGUUGUGGUAAUUGUGUUGCAAGUGUGAUAGCAACUUAGAUAUGAAUCAUGUGAACGUGUAAGGUGUGGAUGUCUAGUUAUGUGUGUGGGGUGUUCUACGGAGUGUAGUAAAAUAGUAGAAAUGUCGGCCGCAAUCACAUUGCGUUGAUAAGAGUCUGCUUCAUAGUGUGGUGGCCAACACAUCUCGGAAUGAGAGAGAGUUUGUCAUGUGUGACAGGCUGUAAGUUGCAGGUGCUCUUGGCUUUGGCCGCAGCUUGUCACCAAAGAUGUGAUUCCUCUUCCUGGAAAGAAUGUGUUAUUUCCUUUUAUCUGCUUCAUCCCAUUUCACAUUCUCAGUUCAAGCUAAUGCCACAGGAAGAUCUUCAAAACGUCAGUCAUUGUGAAUCUGUUCGGAAGCAGAUGGGGGGGGCUCUGCAGUUUCACUCGUUUAGGAAGUGCGGUGAUGAAGAUCUCUGGCAUAGCUAUACCGGACAGUCUUGAUAAUAGUGGGUGUCCGUUCUCUGACCCAGGAGGGCUUUAAAAGUGUGCUGACCACGCAUUACUUAGUUUGUAUUUUCUUCAUGUAAAUCUGUAAAGAGAUGUCAAAGCGGGAGGUAACGGGAAUACUUAGUGAUCAUCACCGAGAGGGAGUUUCCAAACAGUCGUUAACGGGAGAUGCGCAAUAGCAGUUGUCCUAUGAUCGAAAAGUGUGACUUGCCAGUGAUGAGAUUGCUUUUUGAAAGUCAGACGUUGCCGUCCCUGCGUGCGAGAAAAUGGCGCAGCUCCUCUGCUGUUAUUGUUUCCUUCGGACGGCGUGAUGGUAGGAUGCAUGCCCAGUCGAGUGCAGAUUUACUCUCUUAUAUUGCCAGGGCUUGCAAGUUUAUUUGAACUGAUGUUUGUCAUCUUUCUCCUGUGUGAAGUACGUAAAGUGGGAAAUAUUUUGGUUGCACGAAAGGCCGGAUUAGUUGCCAGUAGGCGUGAAUGCAAGCAUAUGGGAUACUUCAGCCGUUAUGCAGUUUCGAAUCCAUCAUUACUACGGAGGUAGCAAGACUUUGCUCGGGUAGCUGACAUGACCAUUGUGCGUGAUGGACACAAUUCAUCAGUCGAUGCGGUUGGGAUGACCCACAGACUCGUGGUGGCAGCCUCUGUUUUUGUGACUUGCAUGUGGAAAUUCAGUAGCUGUUGAUUUAAAUUUGUGCAAGAGCUUAUCGCAGUGAAGAAGCUAGAAGUAAGCAGCUAGGGUUACAGGUUGUAAUGUUGGUUAUGUGGCCACCACACCACACCACACCACAGUUGCCCACUUUUGAUUCCUAGUGACCAAGUAUGGGGUGUUCGUAGCAUGCCUCACAAUGCCACAAGGAAGACCUCAGGCCCUCGUGCGAUUACCUUGCUUUCCGAGGAGGUGUACUGUUAUAGAUUUAGUGGGAGUGCCUAGUCUGUCUCAAAGAGGAGUGUGAGAUCAGGGGAUGUGCUGAGUAGCAACUUUCAUGUGAACUGUAGCUGUAGUGUGUGUUUACUGGCAUCAACGAAGACAUGGAGGACCAAUUUGUCUGAAUAUCAGUGUUUCAGAAGAUCAGUUGUGUGCGUGAUGGGGAAGCAGCUUUUUUGGAGUUGGAGAUGUGAAGAACGAGACAGAACGAAGCACCUGGAGUGUUUGUUACUUGGAUAAGGAAUUGCAUUAUUCAGGACACCGGCCAUGCCGUCAUCAUGAAGUUACCUGCUUCAGUUCCCUCUGGGUGUUCUGUUUGACAUGGCUGGGGUGAAGAACCAGAACGAUAUUGGCCGCAGUUAGAUGACCUGUUACGGGCGAGUAAAACCUCUGUGUUGUGCCCCUGACACGAGAUAGGGCGUUGGACCAACAUUUCUCAAAGAGAGAGCAUAUUAAUUGGCUCACAAAGUGCAGCGUAUGUAUAGAGCUACAAUAACUGGAUGUGAGUGAGUGAGUGUGUGUGUCUGUCUGUUCAUAAGAGGCACCAGUACAAGAAGUAGGACACUGUCUUCUGACUUCAUAUCACAAAGAAUAUUAACUGGAUGAAUAUUCGGAAUAUGUACCAAGUUGGAAGAGGAAUACUUUUUCUGCCAAGCAACGGAGGAGUGCACCAACACUAGACAGACUGACAUCCGAGAGAAGACCGCUUGUGUCCCCGAUGGUUGGCCGUCCUGUUGCUGAGUGCGUACAUGGAGAAGAGGACUGAAUGCAGCGUGUAAAUUUUGUGUGCCUCUGGAGAGGUGGUGCAGUUUUCUGUUAUUUAACCCAUUGACAGGGGCUUGCUCUGUUGUGGUAAUUGUGUUGCAAGUGUGAUAGCAACUUAGAUAUGAAUCAUGUGAACGUGUAAGGUGUGGAUGUCUAGUUAUGUGUGUGGGGUGUUCUACGGAGUGUAGUAAAAUAGUAGAAAUGUCGGCCGCAAUCACA